rnacentral:lncRNA from 1 species
GAUAGGGCGGGCUUGGCGCUGGCGAGGUGAGAGCUCCAAACUUGAAGCGGCGCCACGGCCAAGGUGUCCUCUGUCGCCAUUGCAGGAGCUGCGAGGGUGCGCGAAUCCGAAUGGUGGCUGAUUGGUGAACCUAGAGCACCCUUUGCCCCAGGAAUCUCACCAGAAACCCGUUUUCAGGUGAAGGCCGAGUACUCAGCCCCUUGUGGUGCCUGGUUUUACUUGAUCACAUUGUAAUUCCAUCCUAGGAACCACUCUAUAAGUUCACUUAACAGAGAGAAGUGGAGUGGUUCUUAGCAACCUUUUGCGAUGUAACUUAACCACCAAAGAGAUAUCUGGCUAAUAUGGCAGCUCUCGAGAAGUCCGUAUUUACACGUUGCGGGGAUAACGAUAGGCCUUCAUGCUGGUCCUGAGCUUUUACCGUGAUGCUUCCCCCGUUGCCCUCUGUUUGGAUGUCCAUUCCCACCUUUGGCCUGGGUUCCACUAAGUUAAAGGAAUUCGUGAGACAGUAUAGAAGAUCCAGGAUACAGGGGCUGGAGAAAAGGCUCGGCAAUGAAGAAGAGCAUUGGCUACUUUUGCAGAGGACCUAGGAGCCCGGUACUCUUAUUCCCACGCUGCCUCCGGAAGGUAAAUCUGCUCAAAGGCGAUCUGCGUGCUGUAGCAGCUAAGAUUUGAAUCCAGACGUCAGGACUCAGUACCUUCCCUACAAAAAUCCCUUUGUGGUCCAGCCAAAGAACUAAAUGCAAGCGGGCGACCAUCUCGACCGCAGCCAGAAAGAGGGGGAAAGCGACACCAAGAAUCCAUUCCAAACGAAAAACCAAGAGGAGACGCGGCAGC